UCCUCCUCUCUUUCAAUAAUAACUUUUGCACCUUAGCAGAUAAAGUGGGCCACAACACCUUAGCAAUAACGCAUAAAAUUAAGGCAGUGUUAAAGGGGAAAAGAACAUUGAAUACAGGAGUCAACAAAUCAUGGUUGUUAUGGUUGUUGGUUUAGACCCACACAGAAGAGUAAAGGAAGAAGAGUUAGCAGAGACCUUGCUUGAUUUGAUCUCUAUCAUCAUCUGACUUUGAUGCACUUGAAUUUAAUUGAUUACAAGGUGGGGUGCCCAUCAAUCGGGCCAAUGCUUUGACAGAGACAUUCAACGUUUUUCUUGUAUUCAGGAAUGCAGUCUUGCUCGGCUAUUUACGUGGGUAGUGUGAUUGCACCCACUAUUAAGUGGUGAUAUAGUGUUUACUUAGAAGAGUUCUCAGCUCUGUGAAAGCGUCAAGUUAGACACUACCCGACAUCAACUGGUUUGAUCAUACCAGAUUUAAAUCAACCUCAACCAGUUAUGGCUCCUCCUUCGACUAGUGGUGGUGUAGUUGAAGAUGAAAUCCAAUUUCAAACUAUGAUGUCUCCAACAACACAAAUUAAUAAUACUUUUGAGGGACUUCUGUCGUCGGGUAACAUCCAGCAAAUAAUGAUGGAGGGAGUGGAGCGAUUGAUCAGAGGAAUUAUUUCGAUGAUUAAUGAUGUACUUGAAUAAUUUCUUAAUUUUAUUUUUAGUUUGUAUGAACA